GUUGCGUGUUCAGUGGUAGAGACUUAUUUGUUUUAAUUGUUGGUUUUAACCCUAUCUGAAACCUUAACCCUUAACCAUUCUGAAUGAAUGCCUAAACGUAAUGUUUUAAGCCUAUCCCAAACCUAAACCCCUAAUUUAAAAACAAUUCAGCAUUUUAGGUUUGGAGAAAUAGAAGGAUGCUGAGCAGGUUAAGCAACCCAGGAUGUCAAAAACCCUUCGAAAUUUGAUGUUUGGAUAAACGUGGAUAAACGUCAGAAUCUGAAGUCAAAUCGGUAAAACCGUGAGAUCCUGUGGGGAAACAACAACCAAGGGAAAUCACCAUGAUGCAGAAGUGCCUUUUAAACAAUAGUGGGAAACAAAAGCAGUCGCUAGCAUCUCUCCGUGUUGUGGUAUUAUUCUGCUAGGAAACGUCAUGCCUCCUAUCACUGAGUGCUGUCUGUCAGUCUGUCAGUCAGAUAACAAUAACAAUAUGGGAGGAUAAAACCCCUGCAGCAUAGUGCUGGAAAAUGGAUUACAUCCCAAAUCCCCAGGGAGAGGCUUAAAGCUCCUCUAAACAGAAAGUAGAGUGUUAAAAGUACUGUACAUGACUGAUCUGACCUCAGCUCAGUGUCUGGCCUCUGUUGGCUUAAAACACCAGUUUUCCUGUAUCUAUCAAUAGCCUUUUCACAUAGAACAUCCCUAUGUAUGUUGUUUAACCAUCCACACACGUCACCAAUGCUUCAUCCUUAAAGUACCUUAAUGUAUACUGCAUACCCUAUAGAAAGUGUGUACCUGCUCAAAGAUGGCAGCACACAAGAAAAUAAUAUUAUGGGGAAAAUAGGACUGAACUGCUCGAAAGGUUAACAAAUGACUUCUUCUAACAUGACAAAUUCAAGCCCGAUAUCAAAUGAGAAAACGACAAUGUUUUCUGUGAAGAAUUACUGGUGCAGUCAAACAAUCUCAUCCUCCAGCCCGCUGCUUUCAUCAGUACGUCUGGUGGUGAUGAUGAUGACACUUGUUCUGGUGCUGUGUGUGACUUUGAAAAAAUAAUUCUAAUAAUGAAACCUGUCUUUGGCCUGGUGUGUCUGAGAACCAGGGGGCUAGGUUGUCUCUCUCUUGCUAUAUUUAGUCAGACAGGACAGACAGCGGGCUGAAGGAGAUGAGAGGAGACAGUCUUGGCUGAUUGGGUAUGACAGUGUUUCCCCCCCCUUGUCCCCCUCUAUGCCAGCCAGACAACUCAGCUCUACGUGCACAGAGAAGCGUGCACAUGCAUGGUGACAUAAGCCCGGGUUAGUCACACAAACUGAGGAGCGUGCACAGAUACAAUUUUAAUGCACACGGCAUGGUGUCAGAAACAGAGGGAGAUGUGAAAUGACACCUCUGGCUCUUAGUGUACAGUAUACUGUACACAAAUAGAGGAAUGUGCAAAAUGACAUCUCUAACCUCAGUUUACCCAACACAGAGGGAGGGCUCACACAGAACAUAAUUACAAAAUCAAAUGCAAAUCUUUUAGACUUUCAUCUGCUGAAUUUAUGCUAGAGGGUGAAUCCAUUGGGUUGGGUACACUGGGCCACUAGAGGGCAUACAACCACAGGCAAAGUCACAGCAUACCCCACCAUACAACACCCUUAUUUAUAUAAACCACUUUGCCUGAAGUGUAAUAUUGUGACAUAUGUCUCAACAAAUUAACAGUUUCUGCUCAUUUAGACAUGCAUUGAAACAGAUCAUUUGGCAACAAGCAUGAUACAUUUUUUCCCUGUGAAACCAAUUCCAGGAAUCAGUAUCCUUCCUUGAGAUAGAGGUUGUGGUUAUCUAAACCUUGGGCCCUGUGGCCUGUAUUUAUAGUGAGUGUAUCUGCAGAAGUAGCCCGUGUGAAGGCUGUCUCUCCGGGCUAAGCUGAGGCAUGGAUGGCCCCGGCUGAAGCUCAGAGUCCAGAGAUGAGGAGUUAGUCUAAUGAACAGAGUCACAGUGGAGCAAAGUUAUAUUUCUAAGAUAGCUGUUGGGAUGGUGUAAAUUAAACUGGGCUGCAUUACACACUGCAAUGGAUAUUCCAACCCUGAGACCUGCUCUGCUCUUGCUGUGUGCUGUCUAACCAAUGGCUGUGCUGUGUAGGGCUACAGUGGCAGUUCAGGAGGAGAGUCAAAGGCUUCUUCUGAAAAUAUUUUUUUUGAUUAGGCAUAGUCCAAAAAAUGUACUACCUUGCGUGCGAACUAGCUGCCUUAUGUUCUGUUGAGUUUGAGAAGGAGAGCACAAAGAUGAGAGGAGACUUAGAGGUCAAUUUUGAUAGCUUGCUACUAAUAGAAAUUAUUUUAUUAAAAACAAUAUUUUUCUUGCCCCUGAUGUAUUUAUCAGAGGUAUUGACCUCACAAUAAGCCAUAUUCAAGGAAUUUACACUGAGGUGCUAUGACGUGACCAGCAGUAGCGGCACAAUCAAUCAGAAAAGGACAGCUCAUGGUGCUGAAAGUGGGCAAAUUCGAGUAAGCAUAAUUCAUUUAAACUGUCUUCAUUUUAAUUAGACUUUACUAACCACAAGAGGGCUUUGUUUUGGAGCCUAUUUCUUCCUAUUUAAGAAAUAAGAGUCAGGCAUACCUGUUUGAAAGACGAAAUGAGGCUAUAGGCUGCUUUAUCCAUAGAUUUGUCGGUAAAUUCCUCCACCCACCAUGCACUGUUUAAAUAGCCUACCUCCAUGUCAGUGAAGGGCAGUUCAGUUAAAACCAAGACUCGAAAUUGAGGGGGUAUGAGAAGGUAUGCCAUAGGCCAAUCUUUUAUACCCCUUGUUAGUUUAAGAUUUUAAAGUAAAUAAAAAUGAUUCGGUUAUGUGAAGUGAUCUGAAACAGCGCGUUGGUCCGCGAUGCAUUAUGCUAGAAACAAGCUGUAAAAUACCCGUGAAAGACGUGUCUCGGAUGCAUAGAAGGAUAUCAUUGUUUCGUUUCUUUGACAUUGAUGCUUCUAUAGCCGGAGAAGAGGAAAAAAUGUAAUUUGGUUGGGAAGUAAUCUAAUUCUGUCACUAUCAAUUUAUUAAGCAAUUCACUUGCUGUACAAUAGAUGUUUAAACCCAGACAGCUUUUGGGGAAACACUUUCUCUCGUUGGGUUAAGCCACGGAAUAAGAGUAGCCAGCAGUUAAAGCGGCAUCGGUAGGCCCACUCUGUCUGGGGUGGAAAGCUAGGCCUAACUUUUGACUUUUCAUAUUUAACUACUUGGAAAUAGGUACAGUUUCGUUACAAACAAGACACACUGUGCGCUAUCAACAUUCAUGCGUUGCCAUGAAACGCUUACAGGACGAAGAACAGUUUCUAAAACUGCAUAAGGCUCUGAUCUGUCCAAGUUAGGGUAAACAUGUUCUCUGCUAUCCACUUUGUUCUAAUUAUUAUUUCUGCUAUAGGGGAGGGUCACUUAUUUUCUUUUCAGGUGUUCAGGGAGGGUUUAGGAAAAAUAUAUUUUGCUGAGGGAGGGCCAUCCAUUUUCAUUUCAGAGAGGUCCAAUUUUCUCCAUAUAACCCUUAUUAUAAAUAACAUUCACUCACUAGGUUAUAGUUGUUUAAAAAUAUGUAGAUUUUGUUUUUAUAUGAUUUAGUUUCAGAACGCAUGCGUGGGAAGCUAGGAGCCUCUCCUUCCAGUUUACCAACCAACAUAGGAUUCCAACUAAUUACUGCUAUUCCUUUUAAAGGAUUUUAGAGAGGGACACAGAUUGAAGGGGUCCAGCUGUCUCUGUGACACAAGUGCUCCCUCUACGACCUAGUUUGACAACAAGUCACGUCAAAAUGUGGAUGACCAUGACAAUAUGUUGUGAGUUAUUCACAGGAGUAUUCAGAGAACUAUUCAGAUCUGGCAGAAGCAGCAGGAAUGAUAAAAGCAGAGUUGCUAACUAUUUUCAAGGAAAGUAGGGCUGUUGGUUGCUCCGUUUGACGCUAGAAGUCGCAAGAUGACGUCAUUAUGUAAUAGUGACGUCACUUUUACACUUACGCUGUCCCUCAGUCUCUCAUGCAAUGACAAAUUCUCCAAAGCAAAACUAAAUAUAAUGUUUGAAGGAGAACAAAAAGGAACCGAUUAAAUAAUUAAACAGCACAGAAAAAAAAUUGUAAGCAACGUGGAGAGGAGAAGAGGCUAUAGCGGAGAGAGGCUAGGGAGGGAGCGGAGAGUGGCGGAAGGGACCGCUGCACACACACACACGGAGCCUCAGAGAGGGAGCAGACUGCAGAGCAGUAGGCCUGCAUUACUCAGCACUGGUUUCGACCAGACAGAGAAUGGAUGCUCCUGAGUGAGUACUCUCACAGGGACGAAGCAGAGAGCCUCUGUCCUGGUGCGGUCGGUCACACAGAGAGAGAGAGGGGUGGAGGUCGGGCUGACAUCCAGUGCCACCCUUCAACCUCCAGGACAGCCAGGGUGAGCUCCAUCUGCUCCUGUCUGUGUGUCUGCAGUGUCAGUGCCAGGCUCCACAUGCCACUCAGCAGUAGAACAGAGCCUCAGCCUUACCUCGCCUGCGCCACAGCGCCACCCUGUCCUGCCAACACUGCAGAACAGUUACGCAGUGCCUUUACUGUGAUAAGGGGACUUGGGAGGGGGAGUGCGGCAGACCGGCUGGGCGGGACGGUGUCCCAUGCUGCUCUCCCUCUCUAUCAGUGGCUCAUGUAUUACUUUACUCAGUCUGUGGGCUCUCAAGUAAAACUGUUCAAGUUCUUAUCACAGAGGCGUCAUAGAGGCAGGUGUCAUGUGCCCCCUGUUUAAAAUUAUCCAGGUAUUUCAGAUGUUCAAUUAAUUACUAAACUUCCUUUUCAAGCGCAGGUUUUAUCAUAAUUAUUUAUCAAAAUAUCUAUAAGCUAUAUUGCGGAGGUGCCACACUAACUGGACCAAGCAAAGAGUACACCCCCCUAUUUUCCCAAGCAAGUGGUUCUUUGUGCAUGUGACAAAUAAAACUUGAAACUUCCUUCCAAGGAGCAAAGAUAUGCUAGGCAGGACGCUAGAGAGUCUAUAUCUAGUGCGUGCAGACAGUAUCGUCAGUGGAGGAGGGGAGAGAGUGUAGAGUGACACACACAGCGUUUGAUUUGAUUUUAGCUGCUGAUGAUGGGCAGGAUUCGCAGGAGGUAUGUUUGUAAAUUAAUUGUUUGUAAAUGAAUCAGGCUAUAUAGCCUAUUUAUCCCUUCUUGAUGAAUAAAUACAACCAAUAUGUUUUAUUGUUUCUCUGUAAUACUAACCACCUAGCAAUUUUAUGAAGCUGGCUUUAGCUAGCCAGCUAGAUAGGUUUCCAUUAUCCCAACCUGAUAACUAGCUACUAAGCUAUUUCAGGCUAUCAAUAAAGUAGCAUGUCUAACUAUCUUAGCAGGCAUGCCUGCUGGCAAGUUUGUUAAGCUUUAGAAAAGCAAGCAAGUACUAAAUGUACUGAAUAAGACUCACAUUCCUUUCAAUCUUUCACCCAGAUUUUUAGCAGAGAAGCAUAUUUAGGGUUAUGAUACUAUAUAACAGUGUGGCAGUUAUACUAAACUCCUAAAGCACAGAAGUUCUCAAAUAAUCAAUGUGCAUCAUUCAUUAAAAUGACAAUGAGGUCAAGAGGUAUGCUUAGAUAGACUAUGCAGAUGUUGUUUUUUUACAUAGAAUUGGGCAUAAUGAUUAUGGUUCUAGAUUGUUACAGGCAUUUGAAAAAUAUGCAGCCCCCCCUCCAGACCAACCCCCCUCCAUCCUCACGUACUUUGUGCCCCUUCUAAAAUAAUGGGUGCAUGACGCCUGAUUACUAGUGUCUCACAAACAGAAUGUCCUGUAGAGAGGCAAAAGCCUUACUCUGUGGAAAUCAUUCACCUGUAUGCAGGGCUCUAAAGUGUGACCAAUUUGGCACCUAUCCAGUGUGAGACAAUAAAACAUAUAUUAUUCACUGCUCAAACAAAAUACACGAUUUACAAAUAAUAACCAAUCAUAAUGCUUCAAAUGUUUAAAUAUAGCUAUUUAAACCAAUCACACGCCAGGCACACAACCAAUUCCUUUUCAUGCAAACAUUCCCUCAGAACUGUCAGCUUUCCCUUUUUGUCAGCUAAGUAAUGGCAUUAGCUAGCAAGCUAGCUAGCUAGAACAACAACAAUGAAAUGCGGUGUAACUGAAUCUUUCUUUGACAAAAAACUAAUGAUGAAAAUGAUCAACCACAACCAGAAGGAGAUGAUAAUGACACUGUUGGAGAUGCUGCUACAGAUCCAUCUCCUCAGAAAAAGAAAAAGCUCUACAUGUUCCGAGAAGGGUGGCUUUGCCAAUUCAAGUAGGUAAGGUGGGACAAAAGUAGCAACACAAUGUUCUGUGAGUAGUCGAAAGUGUGGAGUAAUAGUAGCAGGAAGUCUUAUUUUGCCACCGGCCACAGCAACCUAAACAACGUCGUUGCUAAAACAUUACUUAAGCCAAAAGCACAUCAAGUGCCAGGACAAGUGCAUCGGGACAGAGGCUGGAGCAACAUCGCUAUGUCUACUAGCUACCAGCAGUAUUUGACAGGCAACAGGUGACAGCUCAAGCUGGUCAACAGGC